rnacentral:misc_RNA from 1 species
UUCAUCAUCUCCGCCCCACGCACCGUCUCUUUCAACUCGUAUUCGCCUCCCCAGUCUGUCCAAAUCCACGCCUCUCACAUUCCGAUCGACAGAGUUGUGAGAAAAAUUGAAAAAAGACGACAAGCGGAAAGCGAAAAAGGCAACGGAGACGACGACCCUAAAGCAGAAACAAAAAAACCAAAGACGAAGUUGUCGCAAGAAAGAGGCGAGUGGAGACGAAGGGAAAUUAUCGGGGACGUGUUUCAGGCCGUGACGUGACGUUUCUGGACCCUCAACUUCCCCAAAAAUGCCUCUAAAGACCUCCCCAAAUGUCUCCACCCUCUCCUAAAUUUCUCAAGCCCCAAACUGGCACUCUGUUGCCCAACGUGGGCCAAAAAUAGGAUGUCACCAGGGCACCUCCAACUUAAACGAGAGUGGGAGAAAACAACUGGUGAAAAAUGAGCAAAAAAAUGAGUGGGAAAAUUCGGGAAAAUAGAUAUAUUCUCGGCUCUAUGUUUUUGAAAUUACCACUAUUUUUCAUCGAUAUUAAAAAUAUCAUUUUCCUCCCAAAUACUUGGCUAUACCCACU